UUCAGAUAAAGAACUUUGUCUCAUCUGCUUCAUUUGUUUCGAAAUCUCUGAACAAAAAUGGCCUCUUUCAAUUGCUUUGCUUUAGCAUUCUUGAUGGCUUUGUCAUUUGCAAGCAUUGAUGUUGGGGUAGCAGCUCGUCACCUUCUGCAGCAGCCUCAAACGCAAAGUUUGCCAUCUUUCCCUAAUCUCCCAACGCCAUCCCGACCAUCAUUCCCAUGGCCUGGGGCGCUUCCUCCACUUCCUACCACAUUGCCAACAGGACUGCCCCCUCUGCCAAGCAUUCCCUCAGUCCCCACAAUCCCAACUGCAAUUCCCCCUAUUCCUUUCUCUUUUCCACCAUUGCCAUCUUUCCCUAAUCUCCCAAACCUUGGGGCGCUUCCUCCACUUCCUACCACAUUUCCAAGAGGACUGCCCCCUCUGCCAAGCAUUCCUUCAGUCCCCACAACCCCAACUACAGUUCCCUCUAUUCCUUUCUUUUCUCCACCACCUUCUCGUUCUACUCCUUGAAGUACCCCAUUUUUUUAUCUACUGCAUAUUGGAUCUGGUUUAAUAAGGUUUUUAGUCGUCUUUGUGGCUUUAUUAUGAGUACUGAUUUUGCACACUUAUAUUUGUUUGAAUAAAUGGGAUUUCUCCAAUUCCCAAUAUUUGGUGUACUUUGAUACAUUGUUGCUUAUUAUAUAUGAGGUAUUUAUAUAUUGAUGUUAUGUCCAUGAAGUAAUUAAUUACUAUUAUACCAUUGUUAACAUGAGUUUGGCUAAUUAAGAAAAGAAUCAAACGAUAAAUGCAGUCAAGAUAAUGAGCAGCCAUACAUCGAGAAGAUGCCACUGUUGAUAUAAUGAUUCCUGCUUCAUUAUCUCUUCCAAGUUAUCCAUUUACAUAAGAAUAUUUUCCUCUUUCAAUAUAUUUCCAUGAUAAUAUUUUAUAUGAAUGUCAAAUUAUGUAUUAAAUUAAGGUAGUCGGUUUCGUACAGAUUUCGGUUAUAUUAAUUUGUGUAUUGUUUUAAUUUUAUACUGAAAUAUUAAUGCUUUUAAAAUUAGAUCGAUAAUUAAAUUAAUCGAAUAAUUAAUUCUCAAUCCAAUAGGUUUAACCACUGAUACAAAUAAUUUACUAUUCAAUAAUAUUAAUUAUUAAAAUCCCCAAACUCCUAUUUUGAUGGCUUUGAAUUUUAAAACCCUCUCCCCAUCUUUCAUCUUUCCUAAUUUGUCCUUUUUUUUUCCAUUGAUUGAAUAUUAUAAGUCCAUCUUAGUUUUUUACCAGAAAAAAGAACUUAUUUUAGUAGAAAAAGUAAGAAAAAAAAUGUUGGUUAUUUUUUUAUGUUGUGUUUUAUUUCAUUGAGUACAGAGAUGAAGUGUAACAAAAGCUCAAGGGAUUUGAAGUGAAAUUUUUAUAUUUCUGAUUUAGAAAAUGUGAAAAUACGGCUUAAUCGACUGAUGAUUUGCAGUUUAAUUGUAGUUUACUCUAGUUCUAGGGUUCAUCAAUUCUUGGUUUGUUUGGUUCAAUUUCAAUAACAUUGCGAAACACCCAACACCCUUUUUCUACACUGGUGAAAAUUUUGGUCCGUACCAGUUGCAUCAACUCAUUCUGAUCAAUUUCAGUCACACCUGUUAGAGCAUAGUGCACCAUCCUAUGCAUGAAUAAUAUUAAAAUUUUAAAAUUUUUAAUUAUUUAUUAUUAUGCUAAAAACUUAAUUGAAACGUGACUAAUUAAAAAUGUUACAUCGAAAUGUAAAGUUUUUUAAAAAAUGGAAUAUACUUUCACUUUCAAAAUAUAAUUAAGAAAAAAUCAUUCACUCGGUUAUCAAAAAAAAAUUCCGUUCACCUUCUAGCUUCUUUUAUUAAGUAACUGAGCUAAAUCCUUAAAUUUUCAUAUUAAAUGAUAGAUUUUUAUUAUUAAUUUUGGAUUUAUUUGAAUGAUAAAUUUUAUUUUUUAAGUUUAUUAAUAAAUAUUUUAUAUUUGAAAUGUAUUUAGUUUCAUUCAUUUUAUAUUUGUAAUAUAUUUAUAUACAUAUCUUAAAUAAUUUUAAAAAAUAUUGAUAAAUCUGAAAAGAUAUGUAUCAAUUUCAGUAAACAAAAAAUCAAACGUCCACUAAUACAAAGAAAAGAAAUCUCAAUUCUUAAAAUUUCAAUCCCUUUAUAUUUAAAGUUGAAGACAGUAGAAGAAAAAUAGAAAUAGGUAUUAACAAUGAAAUUAGAUUUGAAUAACGUUGUCACUAGGCAUAAUUUAUUGACAAUUUUUGUAAGAGGUUACAUGUAUUUAAUAUGACAUAAAAAACUGUUAAAUUAACUCUAAGUCAUUAUAUAUUUGUUAAUUAAAUAAUAGGAAAAAUUAAUUGAAAAUAAAAAUAAAACAAAAACGUUGAUAAUAGGUUAAAACUUAAUCCAAAUCAUUAUAGAUUUUUUAUUUAAAAAAUGAACUACAAUUAAAAUGGAAAAAAUAAAAAACAUGUGGCGCUAUUUUGUUUUGGGAGCAGGAAUGGAGCAUCGUUUAAGGGCAAGGGAUUUCUAUUCACUGCUCCAAUGCCUAUAUAAACCUCAAUACCAUGCUUUGUUUUCCUCACUCACAACUAUUCAGAUAAAAAACUUCGUUUCAUCUGCUUCGUUUGUUUCGAAAUCUCUGAACAAAAAUGGCCUCUUUCAAUUGCUUUGCUUUAGCAUUCUAGAUGGCUUUGUCAUUUGCAAGCAUUGAUGUUGGGGUAGCAGCUCGUCACCUUCUGCAGCAGCCUCAAACACAAAGUUUACCAUCUUUCCCUAAUCUCCCAACGCCAUCCCGAUCAUUGUUCCCAUGGCCUGGGGCGCUUCCUCCACUUCCUACCACAUUGCCAACAGGACUGCCCCCUCUGCCAAGCAUUCCCUCAGUCCCCACAAUCCCAACUGCAAUUCCCCCUAUUCCUUUCUCUUUUCCACCAUUGCCAUCUUUCCCUAAUCUCCCAAAC
rnacentral:lncRNA from 1 species